CAGCAGCCGCGGUAAAACAGAGGGUGCGAGCGUUAAUCGGAUUUACUGGGCGUAAAGCGUGCGUAGGCGGCUUCUUAAGUCGGAUGUGAAAUCCCUGAGCUUAACUUAGGAAUUGCAUUCGAUACUGGGAAGCUAGAGUAUGGGAGAGGAUGGUAGAAUUCAAGGUGUAGCGGUGAAAUGCGUAGAGAUCUGGAGGAAUACCGAUGGCGAAGGCAGCCAUCUGGCCUAAUACUGACGCUGAGGUACGAAAGCAUGGGGAGCAAACAGGAUUAGAUACCCGAGUAGUCCCUGUCUCUUAUAC
rnacentral:rRNA from 1 species